rnacentral:rRNA from 1 species
CAUGUCCUUUUGAAUAUAAUUUAAGGUCUGAUCUGCUCAAUGAACAUUAAAUAGCCGCAGUAUUUUGACUGUGCAAAGGUAGCAUAAUAAUUAGUUUCUUGAUUAGAAACUGGAAUGAAUGAUUGGACAAGAAAAUUACUGUCUCUUUCCUAAUUUUUUUGAAUUUUAUUUUUAAGUGAAAAAGCUUAAAUUUUUAUAAAAGACGAGAAGACCCUAUAGAGUUUAAUAUUUUUACAUAAUUUAUUAUUAGAACGUUUAUUUAUGUUGAAUUAUUUGGUUGGGGUGAUUGAAAGAUUUGAUAAAUUCUUUUAAAUGUUAUAUUGAAAAUUUUCAAUUUUUUUAUCUAUUGUUUAUAAAUAUAAAAUAAAUUACCUUAGGGAUAACAGCGUAAUUUUUCUUUAAAGUUCUUAUUGUAAGGAAAGUUUGCGACCUCGAUGUUGGAUUAAAAUUAAUUUUUGGUGCAGUAGCUUAAAAAUUAGGUCUGUUCGACCUUUAAAAUUUUACAUGAUCUGAGUUUAAACCGGUGUGAGCCAGGUUGGAUUCUAUCUUUAAAAAAUAUAUUAUAUUUUAGUACGAAAGGACCAAAUAUAAAUUAUAAAUAAUUG